rnacentral:rRNA from 1 species
CCUACGGGGCGCACCAGUGGGGAAUAUUGCACAAUGGGCGCAAGCCUGAUGCAGCCAUGCCGCGUGUAUGAAGAAGGCCUUCGGGUUGUAAAGUACUUUCAGCGGGGAGGAAGGCGAUAAGGUUAAUAACCUUGUCGAUUGACGUUACCCGCAGAAGAAGCACCGGCUAACUCCGUGCCAGCAGCCGCGGUAAUACGGAGGGUGCAAGCGUUAAUCGGAAUUACUGGGCGUAAAGCGCACGCAGGCGGUCUGUCAAGUCGGAUGUGAAAUCCCCGGGCUCAACCUGGGAACUGCAUUCGAAACUGGCAGGCUAGAGUCUUGUAGAGAGGGGUAGAAUUCCAGGUGUAGCGGUGAAAUGCGUAGAGAUCUGGAGGAAUACCGGUGGCGAAGGCGGCCCCCUGGACAAUGACUGACGCUCAGGUGCGAAACCGUGGGGAGCAAACAGGAUUAGAUACCCCCGUAGUC